rnacentral:rRNA from 1 species
UACGUAGGGUGCGAGCGUUGUCCGGAAUUAUUGGACGUAAAGAGCUCGUAGGCGGUGUGUCGCGUCUGCCGUGAAAGUCCGGGGCUCAACUCCGGAUCUGCGGUGGGUACGGGCAGACUAGAGUGAUGUAGGGGAGACUGGAAUUCCUGGUGUAGCGGUGAAAUGCGCAGAUAUCAGGAGGAACACCGAUGGCGAAGGCAGGUCUCUGGGCAUUAACUGACGCUGGAGGAGCGAAAGCAUGGGGAGCGAACAGG